rnacentral:SRP_RNA from 1 species
CCGUGCUAGGUGGGGUGCUAGGGGUGCCCUACAUCCGAAAUCCUCUUCAUGCGGAGCUGAACUCCCUGCCUGAGGAUGCGAUGACAUCGGGUCAGCGCUGGCUCGGUCGAUGGUGAUAACAAGGUCCCGUUUCGGCGGAGCGUCGUGAACCGGGUCAGGUCCGGAAGGAAGCAGCCCUAAGCGGUUUGCUCCGGGUGCGGCGGGGUUGCCUUGGAGGAGUCGAUCGUCCAGAACGCGCCGUUGCUGGACCAUCCAACGGCGGGGUGCACGG